rnacentral:tRNA from 1 species
GAGGGUAUAGCUAAGCGGUAGUGUAUGCUUAGCAUACAUGAGGUCCUGGGUUCAAUCCUCAGUACCUCCA